AGAUCGGAGGAGCCUCAGAGAGAAUGCCAAUUCAAGUCAUCAAAGCCUUUGGGAUCCUGAAGAAAGCUGCUGCAGACGUGAAUAAAGAUUACGGUUUGGACCCAAAGAUCGCAGACGCCAUCAUAAAAGCUGCUGAAGAGGUGGCUGCUGGGAAGCUGGAGGAUCAUUUCCCGCUGGUGGU